rnacentral:rRNA from 1 species
UGGUGGAUUGGUCUGUCUGCUUAAUUGCGAUAACGAACGAGACCCACGCCUGCUAAAUAGCCACGCUCAGGCCUGUCCUGGGCGGCAGACUUCUUAGAGGGACCGCCGGAGCAACCCGGAUGGAAGUGUGGGCAAUAACA